AUAAAAUUAACGGUACCAAUUCUCUUGCACCAGAUGCGCAUUUCGACAAUACAUGUCUCUUCAGUGAUGCUCGUGGCCAAAAUAUUUGAAAUCCAAAGCUUAUAAAAAAGAUGAAAAGCUAUAAUCCAAAAGGUCCAAAAAGUAUAGCCAAAUCCGUGAAAGGAAUCAGAGUUUUGCAUGAGGGAGAUACAUUCCUUAAUUUAUAAUAAUUUCUAUCCUUUUGUAACAGCAAAUUUUAAUUACAC
rnacentral:lncRNA from 1 species